UUAAAAAAAAAAAAAAGGUGGGUGGUCAGCCCGGACAGGCCCUCUCCCCCUGCACUGCUGACACUUGGUGGGUCAUUCUUUUCGGGAGGGGGGGUGCUGGGCACCGUGUGUGUCCAGCCACAUCCCUGGCCCCCAGUACAUGAUUCCCGGAGCCACCAGCGCCACCUCCCUGUGCGUUACUUUCCUGUGGUCUUUGCAAAUGACCACGGACCGGGUGGCUUUCAACAUCGAUGUAUUCUCUCAGUCCUGGGGCCGAGAAGUCCCAGGUCCAGGUGGGGCAGGACCGUUUGCUCUGUGAAGGCUCCAGGGAGGGUCCUUCCUGCCUUUUCCAGCUCCUGUGUCGCUGGCCAUCCUUGGCAUCCCUUGCUGUGGACACAUGGCCCCAGUGUGCGUCCACGAUCAUGCGGCUUCUCCCAUGUCUCUGUCCGUGAGGAUUCGUGGCUGCUCCGCUCCAGGGUGACCUCAGUGUAACUGAUUGCAUCUGCCCAGACCCUCUUUCCAAGCAGGACAACCAGAACUAUCCGUGGACAGAGUCCCUGGCAGCACGGGGGCCGCCGCUGAGAACCGCCGCCGUUCCACGCCCACCCGUGUGUGGCUGGUGCCGGUGGCGCGCGGACGAUGGUCAUCCUCGGAACCCACCAACUCUGCUCCGUGCGGCAAUCCCUCUGGUAGAGUUCUGGGGUGACGUGGAAGCAGGCGGCGUGCUGAGAGGUGGCACAGGCCCUGAGCCGCCUUCACAAGCCCGGGUGUCGGCGCCUGGGCUGCAUGUGUCCAUUCUGUGUGUUUUAAAACCUUCUGUGAUAAAAAAAAUAUAUACAUA